AACACUGCGGCCCCGCCCACGUCAUGGCGCCCGAGGAGAACGCUGGGACCUAACUCUUGCUGCAGAGUUUGCAGCGCCGCUUUCUGGCGGCGCGCGCGCUGCGCUCCUUCCCCUGGCAGGUGGGCGGCGGGGCGAGCGGAGAGGCCCGCAGGGCUCGCGGGAGUCCAGGGGCAGACGGGAUGGGUCUCCGUGCAGAAGCCCCCGACACGCCCGCCACAGCUUAGAAGCAAAAUUAACAGACUCAUCAGAUUCUGAGCUUCUGCGGGAUAUUUUGCAGAAGACUGUGAAGCAUCCUGUGUGUGUGACGCACCCGCCGUCAGUCAAGUAUGCCCGGUGCUUUCUCUCAGAACUCAUCAAAAAGACGUGCUGUAUUGCCCAGAAGCCAUCGUGUUGCUGGUCGGGGUCCUGCUGAGGCUGGCUGCCUGCCGGGAGCACCAGCGGGCUCCUGAGGUCUAUGUGGCCUUUACUGUCCGCAACCCAGAGACAUGCCAGCUGUUCACCACCGAGCUAGGCCAGGCCAGGAUCAGAUGGGAAGUGGAACCUCGUCAUGACCAGAAACUGUUUCCCUAUGAAGAGCACUUGGAGAUGGCAAUGCUGAACCUCACACUGUAGGACUCACACACGACUCCAAUGGGAUUGUGAGAAUCAAGUCACUCUCAAGGGAAGAGGUUUCAUAUGGGAAAGCUGAUAAAACUUUCACUGGACUGGAAUGUUUGGAGAAUGUUAAUUUCCAAAUCAGGAACUACAAACUGCCCUCUAAUAAGACAUCGGCUAUCUAAGCGUGUGGGUGCUCCCUUUCUGCCAGCAGUUCUGGUUCUUAAGGAAAUCGCCAUCACUCAGACAUGAAAACUCUGGCUCCAAAAAUAGCAUUUUCUUUGUGCAAAUAAAAACGUGUGUAUCAAGUAUGUGGACACACUCGGUUCCUCACAAAGCCAAGCCUGCUGCAGCUGCCACAUCCCUGGACACACUUGGUUCCUCACAAAGCCAAGACUGCUGCAGCUGCCACAUCCGCGGACACACUCAGUUCUUCACAAAGCCAAGCCCGCUGCAGCUGCCACAUCCCUGGGCUUACGAUGCAGCAGGUGCUUUUUUCAAGACAGGAAUCAAAAUGUUAGGAACACGGCAGAAAGGUGACACCUGGAGACCAAACGCAGGAUAAGGAGUACUGCAGAGGUCACAGGGAAGUCACAGAACAGUAAUACGCUAGCAGGGGCAUGGGGCAUGAAGAACAGAAGAAGAGAGGAAGUGUUUCCGAGCCUCCGGAAAAGAAAUCAGAGCCAAGCACAGCUUCCCGGGUCACAGAACCAAUUCAUUCACCAGGCGGCACCACUGCCGUCAUUUCAGCUUCUGGCCACUGGGAGGCGCUGCUCAAAAGGGUUUGCCCUGAGACUCCGAGAAGAAGCUGCGGGAAGGACAGCAGGGGUCCCGGGGUUUUAGCCUCUGGCCCAGGAGUUGUAUGUCCAUAACCAAAGGGAGCACAGUCUGCACCCAGCUCUCAUCCCAUCGGAGCUGCUGCGACUCCCGCAGGUUCUUCCAAAACUGGUUUAGCUUGCCUGCAGGAUCAGGAAAGUUUGAGAAAAGCAUCUGCAAAAAAAUAAAGAGCAGAGCUUACCUCAUUGCCUGUCCCCACCCCAUCCCAGGUCACCACCUGGCUGACCCCAGGUCCCCGACCCAACAACAACCCCUCCCAAGUUCCUAACUCUCUCACUUGGACUCGAGACUCUUCACGCCCCAGCAGCGCUCCGCCUCCAACUUGACAUCAUGCUUUCUGGAAACUUCCCCGUAUGUCCCACUUUCCCACACUUGGUGCCCUGGAGCACCUCCCGGCCUCUAACGUGCUGUAUGUUCCCCUGCGAGCACCCUCCUCUUGGCCUCUGGCCAAGUCCCACCCAUCUGUGGGUAACAAGGGGGUGUCGGUGUUCUUUUCAGCCUUGCUAAACUCUCUGAAUCAAGGAUCACAAACUACAGCCUGCAGGCCAAAUCCAGCCCACAGCCUGUGUUUGUAAAUAAAGUUUUAUUGGAACAAAGCCACACCCCUUAA